CCCUUAGAUGUCCUGGGCCGCACGCGCGUUACACUGAUGCAUUCAACGAGCUUAUAACCUUGGCCGAGAGGCCUGGGCAAUCUUGUUAACGUGCAUCGUGAUAGGGAUAGAUUAUUGAAAUUAUUAAUCUUGAACGAGGAAUUCCUAGUAAACGCAGAUCAUCAAUCUGCAUUGAUUACGUCCCUGCCCUUUGUACACACCGCCCGUCGCACCUACCGAUUGAGUGAUCCGGUGAAUAAUUCGGACCGAUGCAGUGCUCAGCUUCUGAACUUUGCAUUGGAAAGUUUAGUGAACCUUAUCACUUAGAGGAAGGAGAAGUCGUAACA
rnacentral:rRNA from 1 species